UACGGGGGGGGCAAGCGUUGUUCGGAAUUACUGGGCGUAAAGGGUGCGUAGGCGGCUUUCUAAGUUGGAUGUGAAAACUCUGGGCUCAACCCAGAGCCUGCAUCCAAAACUGGAGAGCUUGGGUACUGGAGGGGAAAGCGGAAUUCCUGGUGUAGCGGUGAAAUGCGUAGAUAUCUGGAGGAACAUCGGUGGCGAAGGCGGCAUCCUGGACCGGUAUUGACGCUGAGGCGCGAAAGCCAGGGGAGCAAACGGG
rnacentral:rRNA from 1 species